rnacentral:rRNA from 1 species
UACAGAGGUCCCAAGCGUUAUUCGGAUUCACUGGGCGUAAAGGGUGCGCAGGCGGCCAAGUGUGUGAGGCGUGAAAGCCUGGAGCUUAACUCCAGAAUUGCACCUCAAACUACAUGGCUAGAGCAUUGGAGAGGGUAGCGGAAUUCACGGUGUAGCAGUGAAAUGCGUAGAUAUCGUGAGGAACACCAGAGGCGAAGGCGGCUACCUGGACAAUUGCUGACGCUCAGGCACGAAAGCGUGGGGAGCAAAAGGG